UACGGAGGGCGCUAGCGUUGUUCGGAAUUACUGGGCGUAAAGCGCGCGUAGGCGGCUUUGUAAGUUAGAGGUGAAAGCCCGGGGCUCAACCCCGGAACAGCCUUUAAGACUGCAUCGCUAGAAUCCGGGAGAGGUGAGUGGAAUUCCGAGUGUAGAGGUGAAAUUCGUAGAUAUUCGGAAGAACACCAGUGGCGAAGGCGGCUCACUGGACCGGCAUUGACGCUGAGGUGCGAAAGCGUGGGGAGCAAACAGG
rnacentral:rRNA from 1 species